ACCUGCGGAAGGAUCAUUACUGAGUGCGGGCUGCCUCCGGGCGCCCAACCUCCCACCCGUGAAUACCUAACACUGUUGCUUCGGCGGGGAACCCCCUCGGGGGCGAGCCGCCGGGGACUACUGAACUUCAUGCCUGAGAGUGAUGCAGUCUGAGUCUGAAUAUAAAAUCAGUCAAAACUUUCAACAAUGGAUCUCUUGGUUCCGGCAUCGAUGAAGAACGCAGCGAACUGCGAUAAGUAAUGUGAAUUGCAGAAUUCAGUGAAUCAUCGAGUCUUUGAACGCACAUUGCGCCCCCUGGCAUUCCGGGGGGCAUGCCUGUCCGAGCGUCAUUGCUGCCCAUCAAGCCCGGCUUGUGUGUUGGGUCGUCGUCCCCCCCGGGGGACGGGCCCGAAAGGCAGCGGCGGCACCGUGUCCGGUCCUCGAGCGUAUGGGGCUUUGUCACCCGCUCGACUAGGGCCGGCCGGGCGCCAGCCGACGUCUCCAACCAUUUUUCUUCAGGUUGACCUC
rnacentral:rRNA from 1 species